rnacentral:rRNA from 1 species
AUGCACGCUGGCGGCGUGCCUAAUUCAUGCAAGUCGAGCGAACAGACGAGGAGCUUGCUCCUCUGACGUUAGCGGCGGACGGGUGAGUAACACGUGGAUAACCUACCUAUAAGACUGGGAUAACUUCGGGAAACCGGAGCUAAUACCGGAUAAUAUAUUGAACCGCAUGGUUCAAUAGUGAAAGACGGUUUUGCUGUCACUUAUAGAUGGAUCCGCGCCGCAUUAGCUAGUUGGUAAGGUAACGGCUUACCAAGGCGACGAUGCGUAGCCGACCUGAGAGGGUGAUCGGCCACACUGGAACUGAGACACGGUCCAGACUCCUACGGGAGGCAGCAGUAGGGAAUCUUCCGCAAUGGGCGAAAGCCUGACGGAGCAACGCCGCGUGAGUGAUGAAGGUCUUCGGAUCGUAAAACUCUGUUAUUAGGAAAGAACAAAUGUGUAAGUAACUAUGCACGUCUUGACGGUACCUAAUCAGAAAGCCACGGCUAACUACGUG